CGUCUCGCCCAUAACUACUCCUCCGCAUCGCUGUUUUCUCCUCCCCUCCUCCCCUCUCUCUCCUCGAGCCGCAUCCCACCUGCCUGCCUGCCCGGGGGGUCCUGCAGCGGCCGCCAAUCCCGCCCCAUCCAAUCUCCCUGCCCGACCCCUCCGCCGCCCUGAUCUCGUCGCCGUCCGAGGGGCAGCGCUCCGGGUGCCGCAGUGCCUGCCCUCGCCGGCGUUCGUCUCCGUCGCCCGGUUCCGCCCGCCCGCUCGCUGCGGCCGUGUCGGCGACCUGCGACGGCGGCGGGGGCGAGCCGCGGGAACACGCGCGUCGGCGAUGGCCACGGCCUGAGAUUGAGGAUGCGCACAGAGGGUUUGGACUCUUGUGUAUAGGCUCCCUCGCUGUUGAAAUAUUGUUGUAGAUUCUGACGGAAUGUUGGAGGGUCAAUCUUGCCUGAUCUCGAGGUCACUGCCCAGCUCCUGCGAACAGGAAUCCAGAUUAGCUUAUAUGACUUACCACCUCCUUGAGAUCACGAGGACUAAGCGCCCAUCUGGGGUCCUGGCUAUUGAGCAUGAUGGAAUUGCUGUGGCGGCAGUGCUGGCAAAGCGGGCUAAGUCUGAGGAUAACCAUGAUGCUGUGCCGGUAGACUGUCAAGGUGGUAAUCAGGGCUAUUCUGAUUCAAGCACACUGAUAAGUUCUAUUGGCAGAGAUAAUUCAAUCAAUUGCCUAGCCCGUUGUUCUCGGUCUGAUUAUGGCUCCAUUGCAUCACUGAGCCGGAACUUCCGUUCCCUUGUCCGUGAUGGUGGUCUGUACAGAGAACGGCGGAGGUUAGGGAUUGCAGAACAUUGGGUAUAUUUCUCCUGCAAUGUGCAGGAGUGGGAGGCAUAUGACCCAUACCGUGAACGGUGGAUGACGCUCCCAAGGAUGCCACCUAAUGAGUGUUUCAUGUGCUCAGACAAGGAGUCACUAGCUGUGGGCACUGAACUUCUGGUGUUUGGCAAGGAGAUUCUAUCACAUAUUGUUCUUAGCUAUAGCAUUCUGACCAACUCAUGGUCAAGAGGUGUUGAAAUGAAUGCCCCUAGAUGUUUGUUUGGUUCGGCUAGUUUUGGAGAGAAGGCAAUUAUAGCUGGUGGCAUGGAUUCUUUUGGGAGUGUGCUUAGUUCUGCUGAGCUGUACAACUCUGAAACUAAAAGUUGGAUUACACUUCCAAGCAUGAACAAGCGUCGGAGAAUGUGUUCUGGAGUCUUCAUGGAUGGCAAGUUUUAUGUUAUUGGUGGAAUGGCCAGUAACACGGAGGUGCUGACAUGCGGUGAAGAGUAUGAUUUAGAGAAGGGCACCUGGAGGUUGAUAGAGAACAUGUCCGAGGGGCUCAAUGGUGCCAGUGGUGCUCCUCCCCUUGUUGCUGUAGUUGACAAUGAGCUAUAUGCGGCUCAAUAUGCAGGAAAACUAGUAAGGAAGUAUAAUAAAAGUGAUAACACAUGGACAACUCUUGGGGAGUUACCAGAGCGCCCAGAAGCUGUGAAUGGCUGGGGCAUUGCAUUCCGAGGAUGUGGAGAGCGGCUCCUGGUGAUUGGUGGACCAAGAGUGCUGGGAGGCGGGAUGAUUGAACUCCAUUCGUGGAUCCCAAGGGAGGGCCCCUUGCAAUGGAACAUGAUCGGAAGCAAACCUUCUGGCAACUUUGUUUAUAACUGUGCUGUCAUGGGGUGCUGAUUUCGGUGCCACCCACCCGUCGAACAUACUUGUCAACAAGAAAGAUUUGUGAUAUUGGUUUCGCAAAUGCGCAUAAAAGCACUGAUUCUGCCUGAUUGUUGGGAAUUUGUACCUGGUCUGGUCUGGCCCGUAUACUCUGUCGAACUCAGAAUUCCCUGAGAUGGAUGCAUCUAGGUGACAAACUGUAAUUGAUGUAGCCUUGCAUCUGGACAAAAUUGUAUUGGACUCUGCAUUGUCCCAGCUUCAUAGUGCUCAUGUGCAAAUGCCUCUUAACAGAAAC
rnacentral:rRNA from 1 species